rnacentral:rRNA from 1 species
GGUUAAGCGACUAAGCGUACACGGUGGAUGCCCUGGCAGUCAGAGGCGAUGAAGGACGUGCUAAUCUGCGAAAAGCGCCGGCGAGGUGAUAUGAACCCUUGACCCGGCGAUGUCCGAAUGGGGAAACCCAGUGCAAUCCGUUGCACUAUCGUUAACUGAAUACAUAGGUUAACGAGGCGAACCGGGGGAACUGAAACAUCUAAGUACCCCGAGGAAAAGAAAUCAACCGAGAUUCCCCCAGUAGCGGCGAGCGAACGGGGAGCAGCCCAGAGUCUGAAUCAGCUUGUGUGUUAGUGGAAGCGUCUGGAAAGUCGCACGGUACAGGGUGAAAGUCCCGUACACGAAAAUGCACAGGCUGUGAACUCGAAGAGUAGGGCGGGACACGUGGUAUCCUGUCUGAAUAUGGGGGGACCAUCCUCCAAGGCUAAAUACUCCUGACUGACCGAUAGUGAACCAGUACCGUGAGGGAAAGGCGAAAAGAACCCCGGCGAGGGGAGUGAAAAAGAACCUGAAACCGUGUACGUACAAGCAGUGGGAGCACCUUCGGGUGUGACUGCGUACCUUUUGUAUAAUGGGUCAGCGACUUAUAUUCUGUAGCAAGGUUAACCGUAUAGGGGAGCCGAAGGGAAACCGAGUCUUAACUGGGCGUUAAGUUGCAGGGUAUAGACCCGAAACCCGGUGAUCUAGCCAUGGGCAGGUUGAAGGUUGGGUAACACUAACUGGAGGACCGAACCGACUAAUGUUGAAAAAUUAGCGGAUGACCUGUGGCUGGGGGUGAAAGGCCAAUCAAACCGGGAGAUAGCUGGUUCUCCCCGAAAGCUAUUUAGGUAGCGCCUCGUGAACUCAUCUUCGGGGGUAGAGCACUGUUUCGGCUAGGGGGCCAUCCCGGCUUACCAACCCGAUGCAAACUACGAAUACCGAAGAAUGUUAUCACGGGAGACACACGGCGGGUGCUAACGUCCGUCGUGAAGAGGGAAACAACCCAGACCGCCAGCUAAGGUCCCAAAGUCAUGGUUAAGUGGGAAACGAUGUGGGAAGGCCCAGACAGCCAGGAUGUUGGCUUAGAAGCAGCCAUCAUUUAAAGAAAGCGUAAUAGCUCACUGGUCGAGUCGGCCUGCGCGGAAGAUGUAACGGGGCUAAACCAUGCACCGAAGCUGCGGCAGCGACACUAUGUGUUGUUGGGUAGGGGAGCGUUCUGUAAGCCGUUGAAGGUGGCCUGUGAGGGCUGCUGGAGGUAUCAGAAGUGCGAAUGCUGACAUAAGUAACGAUAAAGCGGGUGAAAAGCCCGCUCGCCGGAAGACCAAGGGUUCCUGUCCAACGUUAAUCGGGGCAGGGUGAGUCGACCCCUAAGGCGAGGCCGAAAGGCGUAGUCGAUGGGAAACAGGUUAAUAUUCCUGUACUUGGUGUUACUGCGAAGGGGGGACGGAGAAGGCUAUGUUAGCCGGGCGACGGUUGUCCCGGUUUAAGCAUGUAGGCGGAGGUUCCAGGUAAAUCCGGUACCUUUUAACGCUGAGGUGUGAUGACGAGGCACUACGGUGCUGAAGUAACAAAUGCCCUGCUUCCAGGAAAAGCCUCUAAGCAUCAGGUAACACGAAAUCGUACCCCAAACCGACACAGGUGGUCAGGUAGAGAAUACCAAGGCGCUUGAGAGAACUCGGGUGAAGGAACUAGGCAAAAUGGUGCCGUAACUUCGGGAGAAGGCACGCUGAUAUGUAGGUGAAGCCCCUGCGGGUGGAGCUGAAAUCAGUCGAAGAUACCAGCUGGCUGCAACUGUUUAUUAAAAACACAGCACUGUGCAAACACGAAAGUGGACGUAUACGGUGUGACGCCUGCCCGGUGCCGGAAGGUUAAUUGAUGGGGUUAGCGGUAACGCGAAGCUCUUGAUCGAAGCCCCGGUAAACGGCGGCCGUAACUAUAACGGUCCUAAGGUAGCGAAAUUCCUUGUCGGGUAAGUUCCGACCUGCACGAAUGGCGUAAUGAUGGCCAGGCUGUCUCCACCCGAGACUCAGUGAAAUUGAACUCGCUGUGAAGAUGCAGUGUACCCGCGGCAAGACGGAAAGACCCCGUGAACCUUUACUAUAGCUUGACACUGAACACUGGUCCUUGAUGUGUAGGAUAGGUGGGAGGCUUUGAAGCGUGGACGCCAGUCUGCGUGGAGCCGUCCUUGAAAUACCACCCUUUAAUGGCUGGUGUUCUAACGUAGACCCGUAAUCCGGGUUGCGGACAGUGUCUGGUGGGUAGUUUGACUGGGGCGGUCUCCUCCCAAAGAGUAACGGAGGAGCACGAAGGUUAGCUAAUCCUGGUCGGACAUCAGGAGGUUAGUGCAAUGGCAUAAGCUAGCUUGACUGCGAGAGUGACGGCUCGAGCAGGUGCGAAAGCAGGUCAUAGUGAUCCGGUGGUUCUGAAUGGAAGGGCCAUCGCUCAACGGAUAAAAGGUACUCCGGGGAUAACAGGCUGAUACCGCCCAAGAGUUCAUAUCGACGGCGGUGUUUGGCACCUCGAUGUCGGCUCAUCACAUCCUGGGGCUGAAGUAGGUCCCAAGGGUAUGGCUGUUCGCCAUUUAAAGUGGUACGCGAGCUGGGUUUAGAACGUCGUGAGACAGUUCGGUCCCUAUCUGCCGUGGGCGCUGGAGAAUUGAGGGGGGCUGCUCCUAGUACGAGAGGACCGGAGUGGACGCAUCACUGGUGUUCGGGUUGUCAUGCCAAUGGCACUGCCCGGUAGCUAAAUGCGGAAGAGAUAAGUGCUGAAAGCAUCUAAGCACGAAACUUGCCCCGAGAUGAGUUCUCCCUGAGACUUAAAGUCUCCUGAAGGAACGUU